GGCGGUUCUUGAGUGACACAUCCCGGAAUCAGGCUCCCUCCUCUCUGGUUCCAGGGUGCGUCACCCAAGAACCACC
rfam:Myotis brandtii contig214057, whole genome shotgun sequence.